GGAUAGCUCUGUUGAUAGAGCAUGAGACUCUUAAUCUCAGGAUCGUGAGUUUGAGCCCCACGGUGGGCA
rnacentral:tRNA from 1 species